rnacentral:rRNA from 1 species
GACGAACGCUGGCGGCGUGCUUAACACAUGCAAGUCGAACGGUAAGGCCCUUCGGGGUACACGAGUGGCGAACGGGUGAGUAACACGUGGGUGAUCUGCCCUGCACUUCGGGAUAAGCCUGGGAAACUGGGUCUAAUACCGGAUAGGACUCCGGACUGCAUGGUCUGGGGUGGAAAGCUUUUGCGGUGUGGGAUGGGCCCGCGGCCUAUCAGCUUGUUGGUGGGGUGAUGGCCUACCAAGGAGAAGACGGGUAGCCGGCCUGAGAGUGUGACCGGCCACACUGGGACUGAGAUACGGCCCAGACUCCUACGGGAGGCAGCAGUGGGGAAUAUUGCACAAUGGGCGCAAGCCUGAUGCAGCGACGCCGCGUGAGGGAUGACGGCCUUCGGGUUGUAAACCUCUUUCAGCAUCGACGAAGCGAAAGUGACGGUAGGUGCAGAAGAAGGACCGGCCAACUACGUGCCAGCAGCCGCCGUAA